AGACCUUUAUCUCUUUCUCCAAUUCGAUGCGCACCAACAGUAGAAGGAACCAAGAGAAACGGACCAAAGGGAGAGACGGAACAGAGCUGCGACCAGGGGGAAUGGGUGAGCCGCGCUGCUGCCCGGGCCACCGCUGGUCCACCUUGGAGCCACCGUCGAGCUCGCAAGUGUGGGGCAAACACAGCGCCCCGACUUCAUUAGAGUUCCGCCGUCAAACCCUGCUUGCCGCCGCCGUGCGAAUCGCGAUCAGGAGAGGGAGAAGGUGCGAGCUAUGGCCGGAGGGGAGAAGGCGCCGUGUCUAGAAGCUACGCCACCGUCACCAUUGCCAAGCCUCAGUGUCUUCGUUGAGCUGCUCUGCCUCACCGUGGCUGAGCUCCACCACUCCCUGUUCCUCGGCUGGUGGAGUUGCUGCUACUGCCAUCAAGAGAGACGCACAAGGAGGAGCCCGACGUGCGUGAAGAAGAAGGCUGAGAUGGUUCCCGUCACUGCCACCUACCUCCGCCACUGCCGAACUGCUGUUCUGCGGUGCUUAGCUAAAGCUUCAGCACUAUUGCCGUAGAUCUGUAGUUGCCGGAAGACGCCGCUGCUGUUGCUGUUGGAGGAAGAGGAAUCCUUGCCGCUGUUCUGGUCACCGGGAGCAGUCCCGAGGCCACCGGAACCGCCGCCGGGAAUGCCGCUAAUAGGCUCAGUCACUUCUUCUUAGUGGCGUUGUCGUGAUCAGAAUUCCUCGCCGCUGCCGCUUGAGGUGGCAGCCAGGCUGUCGCCGAACCGGCUCAGAGACCGCCACUGUUUUGGUUCAGCCAUUCUUUCUUAGUUUCAGAUAUGGACGCAGGAGUCACGAAGAGUUUAUUUAAUUAUUGUUGAGAUGAUCUAUAUUGCUUUAGUUGUUAUUUAUUGUUCCCUCGCCUCUAUCUUUAUACAUGCUGUAAGAGGGAUAGGAAUUGUAUUGGUUAAUGCUUAUAAUAUGUAUGUAUAUACUCUUUGCGAGUUUUGUAAGUUGUAUUGUAUGUAUGGAUGUAAGUUACCUAAUAAAAGUACCUUGGAGCGAUGUUGCAGU